rnacentral:rRNA from 1 species
AUUGAACGCUGGCGGCAGGCCUAACACAUGCAAGUCGAGCGGAUGAAGGGAGCUUGCUCCUGGAUUCAGCGGCGGACGGGUGAGUAAUGCCUAGGAAUCUGCCUGGUAGUGGGGGAUAACGUCCGGAAACGGGCGCUAAUACCGCAUACGUCCUGAGGGAGAAAGUGGGGAUUUUCGGACCUCACGGCUUCAGAUGAACCUAGGUCGGAUUAGCUAGUUGGUGGGGUAAAGGCCCACCAAGGCGACGAUCCGUAACUGGUCUGAGAGGAUGAUCAGUCACACUGGAACUGAGACACGGUCCAGACUCCUACGGGAGGCAGCAGUGGGGAAUAUUGGACAAUGGGCGAAAGCCUGAUCCAGCCAUGCCGCGUGUGUGAAGAAGGUCUUCGGAUUGUAAAGCACUUUAAGUUGGGAGGAAGGGCAGUAAGUUAAUACCUUGCUGUUUUGACGUUACCAACAGAAUAAGCACCGGCUAACUUCGUG